GCCUUCGGCCCUCGCUCCCGCCCACAGCACAGGGAGGGGCUGGGCCAGGCUGCUGUGCUUCACGCGGCAGGAGUAGGAGCUGGAGGCUCUGUCCUGCAGGGAAACUGACAUCACCACCCAGGACUGGGAACCUUUGUGAAGAUCAGGCAAGGCUGGGGGUUCCCAGGAGCCUCCUCGUUGGAUCGUGGAAUGACCGCAACAGCCCUCGGGCUCCCGUCCCUCCACCGUGCAUUGACAUCUGAUGGCAAGAAAUUGUGACUACCCCCCCAUACAUUUUUCUGUUUUUUCCCAAACUUCUGAGUGAGCUUUGGGGCUCCCUCCUCCCCCAGUCUCAGCUCCGUGCCUUAAUUAUGCCGUGGCUCUAUCCAUCAGACCCAUGACUGCUCUGUCCCACAGGACCCUCGUUCUCAUUGUUUCCCAAACCAAAGUCUCGGCUUGUGACAACCAAGCUCUGACAGGCAGGCAUUUUCCACACCUGCCUUCAUUCACUGCCCAGCUGGGAGGCGUCAUCCUAGAGACACCACCUGGGCCUGAGAUGCUCCCCGGGCUCCCAGCCUGAGAUCACCUUGGUCUUUCUCAGCUCAGCGCGGGGGGGAGCAGGACCUAGGAAGCGGGGGGUACCUUGUCGGUCCAGGUUAUUAGUGGCUGUCCCACGUGAUGGGAUGAUCGGGACCGACGAUGUUCUAGCUUUCAUGGAAUUUGCAUAGGUAAGUUUUGUGGAAUCUUUUGGAGGUUCCAAUUUCACAGAUUCAGACCAGAUAAUUAAGAACAUGUUCAUUGUCAAACAGCUAGUGACUGGCCAGGCCACCAUGUGAACCCAGGUCUGACGGACCCCAGGGUUAGCACACUCUUUCCAACAUCCCUGGGCAGGGGAGCCUGAUGCCUUCUAAAGUAGGAUCAGCCUCAGACAGGUUGGGCUGUGCAGCUGAGAGGUGACGCAUGCCUGGAUGAGAGCUGACUCUGACAUCACUUCCUGUCAGAGCUGAGGCCUAGGAGUGAGGAUGGGACGGGAUGGGGCAGGGGGAGAGCGGAUGCGCUGUGGGGUGGGGGUGGGGGGUGCAGAGUGUCUGCGUAUUUCUACCCUGCUCUCCGUUCCUCCUUCGGGACGGGGAUUACUUCCAUCCUGCUGACCCCUCUCCACUCACCCCUGCAGGGCUGCCUCUUGAGCUAAGACCCUCCACUCCAGCAGUCC